GUGUUUUGUUCUCAUAACGUAGUAAACAAAUAGUAGAGCAGUGUCGUAUGAAUCUUUUCCUGCUUCAUGUGGGCGUUUUCUGCUCAUCAUUGACUUAUAUGGACAUUCAAUCAGCGAAUUUAAAGAAACAUUUGACCUUUGAGAUGAGGAGUUAGAAGGUACUGGCGGUAGAGAUAUCUUUGAAACUAAGGAAAGUAAGUCCGUUGGUAUCCCAUCUGAUACAUGUUGAAGAUCAUCGGAUUUCAAGUAGAGAAGUUUAGUGUCAUAUAUAGAUUUGAAAGAUGAUAAACAAAGCUCAGAAAACUCUAAUAUCGUUUCCGGGACUUUUCCUUCAAAAAGGGAAAACAAAUACACCAAAUCUGCCAUGCCAUUGUGACAAACUACUGACUUUUUUUUCUUAAGUAUAUAGUCCCAUAAAUGUCGCAACCCAACAUUCUGUUUGAUCAAAUUUAGAUUGUUAAGUAUUAAUUGGUCGCUCGCAAUAUCUUCUUUGAGUUCGCUUUUUGAAGUGGCAGAGCAUUGAGUUGUCGAAUUUUCAAUAGCCUUCCGAACCUGCAGAAAUGUUCUUUUGGGGUAACUCUUUAAAGUUGGAAAUUCAAUUUUAACCAGGGAUUGUAUUGCUUUUCUUAUAAAACGAUUAGAGGUAGUAAUGUUCAAGUAUUUUGAAGUGGAAUGUGACAACUCGCUCGAUAACCAAUUCUUAAUUUGAUUUCUUGCGUCAACAAGAAUUUCUUCAUCGCAAGCAUCUAAAAUUGAGCUGGUCAAGUCGUCAGUUGAUCUUUCAUUAACCUUGUCGAUCAAAUUUCUUUCUUCAAUCCGUGAUAAGUAUGGUACACCCUCUGUCAGUUGUUUAUUAAAAUCAAAACCUUGUUGUAUCAGAAACUUAAUACUGCUAGCCUCCGAGCAGAAGUCUCUCUUAAGGUGCAAUUCAUCUUUAACUAGAGGACUUACGUUAAUAUUUACGGGAAUACACGAAGAUUUUCCAUUGUUUUGCAAAUAAAUAAAGGUUAUACCAAUUUGUAAAAUUGUGUAUCGUAUACUACUUUUUCUCAGUAACUCAUAUCUGUCUUGUAAAGUAUUUUUGUUGUUAAGGUUGAAGUCUCUUAAUAAUCCGGAAAAUUCACAAUCAAUGGAAACAUAGUGUGCUGAAUCUACGUGUUUCUCCAAUUCUUUUAAUGU